UCGAGAAUUUUUCUCAAUGGGGGCAACCCUGAAGGAGCGACGCCGCGUGGAGGAUGAAGGUCUUCGGAUUGUAAACUCCUGUCAUUAGGGAACAAUUGUCAUGGGAAUAACUGCCCGUGGCUUGAUAGUACCUGAAGAGGAAGAGACGGCUAACUCUGUGCCAGCAGCCGCGGUAAUACAGAGGUCUCAAGCGUUGUUCGGAUUCAUUGGGCGUAAAGGGUGCGUAGGUGGCGGGGCCAGUCAGGUGUGAAAUCCCGGGGCUUAACCCUGGAACUGCAUUUGAUACUGCCUUGCUAGAGAACUGGAGAGGAGACUGGAAUUUACGGUGUAGCAGUGAAAUGCGUAGAGAUCGUAAGGAAGACCAGUGGCGAAGGCGAGUCUCUGGACAGUUACUGACACUGAGGCACGAAGGCCAGGGGAGCAAACGG
rnacentral:rRNA from 1 species